ACUGUAAGACUWGAGUGUGGUAGGGGCAGAGGGAAUUCCCGGUGUAGCGGUGAAAUGCGUAGAUAUCGGGAAGAACACCAGUGGCGAAGGCGCUCUGCUGGGCCAUAACUGACGCUCAUGGACGAAAGCBAGGGGAGCGAAMGGGAUUAGAUACCCCUGUAGUCCUCGCCGUAAACGAUGAACACUAGGUGUCGGGGGAAUYGACCCCCUCGGUGUCGUAGCCAACGCGUUAAG
rnacentral:rRNA from 1 species